CGGAGCCCGGGGACGCGCUGGAAGCAGGGCAGGUGCUCCGGUGCAAGGGAAGCCCGAGGGGACAGACCCUCGCCCUCCGCCCCGCAGAUCCCCCUCCCGCCUUUCGGGGGGGGCCGCUGCCGACCCCCGGGACCAAGACCAUCGUUUCAGAGCCAAGAGAAGAACUAAGAGGGAAUCAAGUGAACCUAGUAGAAGCCAGGCUGCCGACAACGGGAAAGAGGUGGUUCUCUGCACAGUCCACAGUGGACUUGCAGUGUUUAUUACCAAAUGAGGCUCUGGAUGGGAAAGAAUGGACUUGGAGUCAAGGAAAAAAUGGACAAGUACUUGGAAAAGAAAUCUACAGAGGGUUACUAAGCUGACAGCAGCCACAUCCAGCUCAGGAAAUUCUCUGUGCUAAAAAUAAUUGGAAGCUAGGCAAGCACUUGUGAGACAUUUCAUAUAUGCUUUCCCUCCUGUUCCCUAAACAUUAUUUAUAGCCACUUGUGAGAUGAAUACUGGACUAGAUGGACCUUUGGUUCAACCCAGUAUAGUUGUUUUAGUGAGCACCUUUCACAGAAUCAUAGAAUCACACAAUCAUUUAGGUUGGAAAAGACCUUUAAGAUCAUCGAGUCCAACCAUAAACCUAACACUGCCAAGUCCACCACUAAACCAUGUCACUAAGCACCACAUCUACACAUCUUUUAAAUACCUCCGGGGAUGGUGACUCCACCACUUCCCUGGGCAGCCUGUUCCAAUGCUUGACAACCCUUUCAGUGAAGAAAUUUUUCCUUAUAUCCAAUCUAAACCUCCCCUGGUGUAACUUGAGGCCAUUUCCUCUUGUCCUAUUGCUUGUUACUUGGGAGAAGAGACUGACACCCACCUCGCUACAACCUCCUUUCAGGUAGUUGUAGAGAGCGAUAAGGUCUUCCCUCAGCCUCCUUUUCUCCAGACUAAACAACCCCAGGUCCCUCAGCCGCUCCUCAUAAGGCUUGUGCUCUAGACCCUUCACCAACUUGGUUGCCCUUCUCUGGACACGCUCCAGCACCUCCAUGUCUUUCCUGUAGUGAGGGGCCCAAAACUGAACACAGUACUCGAGGUGCGGCCUCACCAGUGCCGAGUACAGGGGAACGAUCACUUCCCUUUGUGGGUCUCAAAGACCACUAGAGAUCCGUGGGUGGCAUAGGGAGAAAAACAGAAUCUGCCUUCACUUCAUUCAUGAAAUGGGCUAGGGAGGACACCUUAGGACAGUGAACACUACAGCUUGAGCUUGCUUGCUGUAAAUUCAGAAGACAUGCGUUUAAUCUGAAUACUUGCAAACACCCUCUAAUUCCACUCAUACUGCAAACAUACAAAGUACAGAUUCACAGCGCUGGAAACAAAAAGGGAAUUGAAACAACUGUCUCAUCUGACCUUAUCUUUAGGACAAAGAAUUUACACAGUAAUUUUUAUCAAGCACUUUAUCACAUGACUGAAGGAAAGACAAUUUCAAGAGAAUGUUAUUGUACAUUGCAGACCAUUUCUGGGUAAGCCUUAGGCUCCAUCACCUGGGUUUGCCUGAUUCAGCCGUUCACCACUACUAAAAGGGGAAACACUGUGCUUCUUGGCUCCGGCAGCACAAUCUGAAAAUGUGUCUUAUGCCAGUUUUCCCACUUUUAGGACCUCUGCUUGCUGCAAUUCAAUUCAGUGAACAGGCGGAAGAGCACUGCAAAGAGGAGAGUUUCUUCUGGGCUAGUGAGCAGAGCUGUGCAGAUGGCUGUAGGGUCCAACAGGCGCCAGAGCUGACACCAAGGUGGAGUGGGACUGGGCAGCUGGGAGCAGGAACAAAAGAGGAGGAAGAGGGAGAGGAAAAGGGGGAAGAAGCUUUGGGCAGUGACAAGCUAUUGGCUUGACUCAGGGUGCUUGUGCAAACUGCAGCCUGAAAUGCAUAUCUUUCGUUGCAUAUUCUUGCAGCUUGGAAAAUGCAGGCCAGUGCAAUUUCCUGCACUGAAUUAUUUAAUGAUUAUACACAGCCAUGUUUGCCUUUGUGCACUGAUAUCCCAUUUGCAAUUUGUUCCAGAUGUUCACACUGAAAUUUCUUACAGUUACAGUGUGCCUAAGAGGAGGGAAUUAGGUAUCAGCCACUCCAAACCUGCUGUGACCCAAACAUGGUUAAUUAACAUAACCCCAAAGGGUCAGAUCUCAGCCAAGAGCCAGUAAUGAGUUACAUAAAAUAACCUGGUUAGAUGUUUGUAUAUUGUUUUUAAUAUACAGACUGCUAUAGAACAUAAGGUCUAGCAAAAUAUUAAGCUGUCUUGACCCUUCCUCCCAGGGGAGACUGGCUACCAAGACUAAGAUGCUCCUCUAAGAGGUGGGACAGCACGUGCAGAGUCUGAAAUCCUGACAGCAAGAGAGAGGCAUCCCUCUGAGGUAACCUCCGGGAAGUAGAUUGAUUUCUUUUUUAUAGAUAUAGGAUCAAUUUUAGGAGUUGGUGUCUAUUUUAGGUAUGAAUACAUACUUGCAUUUUACCUUAGCAUGGCUGGAGUUAAGUGAGAUGAAGGUAGCUAGCUAACAGUAAGGCAUUCCUCAGCCAGGAGCAUGACAGAUCUUUGAGCUGGAGCCCUGGGACACUUUAAAACUCCUCCUCCACCACAUCAAGAGAAUAAGAAGGCCCCAUAGGCCUGGUGGAGAGUUGGUACCACAGGCAUGAGGGGAAGCUCAAGUGUCUUCCAGUGACUUUUGAUGACGCUGGAGGCUCUCUGGCAUGCAGUAAGGUAUUAGGCUACACAUUUCAACCCCCAAGGUCAUGAUGCUGUGUGGAACAUCAUGCAUGAAUAGGGACAUUGUAUUAGAGUACUGGUUUUAGAAAACAUUCUAGUAAUUUAUAUAAACUUUCUUAUCUCACUGAGUAAAUGCUCAAGUGGUGAAACGCUAAAUAUUUACAUAGUGAAAUAAGAAUAUUGCUUUCACUGCUUUAAAGUAUAUUGCAUCUGUGGCCUACAUUUUGACUUGAUAAAUUAAUGUGAGAUUUGAUAAAUUAGUUUUUUAGUCUCUCUAAUUAACUUUCCACAAGCUUAUUUUAGCAUGAGACAUUCACAUGAAAAAAUUACUAAUAUUCAUGUGUGUACUUCUCAUUUCUCCUAUGGCAUUGCUCCUGAGUCCCAUAUAAGGUUGUUUGUCUUUCCCUUGCUGGGAUGACUAGAGCUUUUUAAACAGGAAAACGACAGACAAAUCAUUAAGGCAUUGAUCACCUCAUGCAAAAGAUGGUGAAGCACUUCAGGAAGAAAAAUGCAUUAGCAGGUAAGCCGUUUGAUGGGUUAACAGCUUUGGUUUUCCUAACAUCUUUUGUAUAAGAGCCAGCAUUAUGUACACAUCAAAUUUAGAAAUACUUGGUACCUCUCUUACUGAGGAAGACAAAUUCAAAAUAGUUUUUUGGCUUUUAAGUUUGCCUUUCAUUUAAGUAGCUCCUGCAACACUCACACAAAAUGAGUGUGGGGUUUUUUUUCUAUAUUCCCAUGCGUAUUUGCAAAGAGCUCACUUGUCUUUGUGUUUCAACUGGUUCACUUCCUUAGCUCUAGAGGCCUGGCAAGGGGAACCAGAGGAACUACCAGGUAUUGUCCAGUCUCCCCUCCUCUUUUCAGGGUAUGUACAAUAGUGUUUCCCAUUCUUGGCAGUGCACAGAUUACAUUCAUUGCUGCUCAUUUGCUGCUCUAAGUUCAAACAAUUUAAGUUGUCUGCUAGGAACUGGUCAGAAGGAUCAGUGUUUGUGUGAUUCAAAGGACUGAAUGCAUCUGGCCGAGCUAAUUUUAGUCUUGUGAUAAACCACAGGAAAAGUUAGUAAGUUUUCAGCAAAAAAAAAUCGGUAUGUUUUAAACUUCUCUUUUUCUAUCAUAACAUCCAAGUUCCUGCAAAAGCCACCAUGAUGAGAUAACAGGAGGAAUUUAUCAUAAUCUGUCCAACAUUUCAGCACUAGAGUGAGAUUCAUGUCUGUUUAGAUUCUUAUAUUUCAUGCGGCACUGACCUGGUAAUCGUUAUAACAGUGAGCCGAAGUGCAGAGAAAAAGGCAUUUUGAUCCUGAGAUAUGCAGAGACUAUCUGAAAGGGGCUUCCUAAGCCUGUCCUUACUCAGCUUUUCUAUUUUGUGUUAAAUGUUCAAACACUGACUGGGCCAGAGACAGUGAGAUUCCUGUGCAGACUGACAGCUAAAGCAUGACCAGGAGAUGCGUAUGUGUUUUAGUGCUUGCUCCUGUGAACACAUAAAUAUUUUAUGGAAACAAACAGCUUCAAUAAGAAAAAAGAUCAGAAAUGCACAUCAGACCAGCAGAGCCAAUAACUCAAGUUGAUGGCAUGGUCUGCUAAACCAGCAUUUUGCACUACCCAAUGACAGUGAUGCCACUUGUUCUAUACACACAAGUCCCUCUACUUAUCUAUUAUACCUGGAACAUCUUCUACUUUCUCUUAUUUCAUAUAUUCAGUAGUUUUGUAAUAAUUUCUAAUUUUGAGCAUCACAAAAAUAUUUACCUGUCAAAAAGCACCUGUAAAACUGGCAGCAACCUUAAAUCUUUCCAGAUUUCAUAUGUAUUUCCAGUAGUUCUUUUUUGGUUUGUUUUCUCUCUAUUUUAUUCUGCAUUUAACUGAUAGCAAUUAUGUACUCAUUCAGCCUGAGCUAUGUCUACAUUGUAUGAUUAGCCCAGGUCGUAGUCCAGGACUCUUGUAGUAUCCAGCUUAGUGCACUGGCUGGGAGGUGUGAGUCAGCUGGGAAGUGUGACUUAGAGCUGAAAAGGAACUGCUUUCUAAACCACAUCUCAAGUGUGAAGACAACACCUACUAGCUAAGUGGUAAAAGCCAGCUUCUUAAGCUGUCCCCCAGCUACAUCUGUGUUAAUGCACAAGAUCAAAAAGGUUUGCUUAAACCACCGUGGCUUGAACUGACGGUUUGACUCUGCACUGUAACCAGCCCUGAAUGCUCAGGCGCUUUUUUUUUUUUUCUCCUUUGAGAGGCAACACCUAAGAGCUGAGAUUCAGUCUAAGACACUGUUCCUUACUAGUCCUUGGCUACAUAUUGCUGCUUCUCAGCCCAAGUUUCUGUUGACUGUUGCUCUUUCCACGCUGUCCGUGGUGGAGCACACUCUGCCUUAGGCGAUCUGGCUCUUCUGUGCCCUGGAGAGAGCACCACAGCAAGGCGUUGGGGUGGGUGGUGGGUACAAGCAUGCAGCGUGCACGUUACCUGUGGAUGUGUGGUUCUGGUAGCAGGAACAGAUGCAAACAGUUUGACAGGAUGCCAAAUAGCUGCUGCCAUAAGUUGCAGAAUUGUACUCCCCUAUGAUUGAUGAGGCUUUUAAUAAGAAAAAACCAGUCUUUGUCAAAAAGUACUCUACAAAGCAGAGGUUUCAGCAUUGUCUCCAUCCUUAAGCACAUGGCAUCCUGUCGUUAGGUGAGGCUGUGCGGCACACAGAGGCAUCCCGUGGCUGAGGAACACCCGCCAGGCCAGCGAAGCUGCUCCUCUGGCUGACGGGCCUCUCUGGGGCACAGGCGGCAGGCACACCACAUUGCAGUUAUGCCACCAGUGCUGCGGGAUGUCAGGAGAACUACAAACCGAUGGCAUCACUCAGCUCCACUGGGAUAAUCACCACCAGCAGCUGCUCUGGCUCACCUAACUCCGGUCUGUUUAUGUCUGUGAAAUAAACUGUUUCCAGCAGAUAUGUGUUUAA